rnacentral:sRNA from 1 species
GCUGGCAAGAAAUCGGCAAGACCAUUCAACACUCGUCGGCACCCACACAGCCGCCCUGUGCUACGGAGCGCUGGUCUUGGUUUGCAAUGAAAUAUACCCGACUCAGCUCCAAUCGAACAGCAGCACAAGCAUAUCGAUUAGGAAGGCCUUUUCCGUUUGGGAAUUUCCGGAUAGAUGUUGUGCACAUGUAUCGUGGGCAUGCUGUCGAUAUUUUGGCAAUCUCGAAAGGAUAAUUCAAUAUAUUGGGCACGCACAUAUGCUGUGGUUGUACUCCGCACACGAUUGGAAGAUCAAACGCUGCCUUCAUACGCUUAGAAGCGACUAAUAGCUAUCACAAAUCUCUGUUUUCACCUCUAACCGUUGAAGCUUCCCGAAUUCCCUGCCGGUAUGCAUGAUAGAAUUUGGGACGUGCACGACCAUCAAACAGUGUUACACGUGGAGCUUGGGCACAAGGUCAUCUUUCCCCGCUUUCAUAUUUGACAACAUAGCCAAGUCGAUACCACGAAUUGCCAUAAACGUUAUAUCCGCUUUUUUCCUAGUUCGGCUGCCAGGAAGUUGAUAUGCGUAUCCGAAAAUUUCUCAAAAGAGAUGACAGCAUUUGCUCCAUUCAGCGUGUUAUCUCUUUUCCAUUUGCUCUCUAACUUUCGGGGGAACGAGAGGAAACACUACAAAGACAAGUGGAAGACCACUAACUCAAAAGAAGUUCACAAUAAUGCCGGAUGUGGUACCUAUCGCCUGAGCAUCUGCCGGCUACGUGUUGCUGUACGUGUGGUUUUUCGUUGACAGUACGUGUGUGAUACGACUAAGCUCCCUCCUCUGCCAACUACAGAUAUGACACAUGGAACAACAAUUAAAUUAACAGUGAACGGUUUGGGAAUCGCUCAUCUGCGCCAGGUCUGCUAGUUCCAUAUCGAAAACUUACCCUGGUAUUUUCGCCCAAGGUCCUCAAAUUCGGGAUUGAUAAAAUGCGCGAAAUGAAUGACCAUCUGUCGAAGAUAUAUACUUAUUUCCACUUUGAACGAUUAUUCUACGAAUAUCUAUGAUACCUUUAGAAAAAAAAUUAAAUUAGCCGCCUAACCUAUACUCAGUAUCCAAAGGAACUAUACAUUUCCAUAGCCUGUUCAAUUAAACGAUGGAACCGCACCGAUCAAGGAAGAAUUUCGAAAAGAUUUCAUAACAAAAUGUGCAGCCGGGAUAUCAUCUUAAUCGAAGGUGAUAGCAGCCUUAAUAGCGGAUUUAUUCCUCAUUGACUCUAAGCAUUCAGCCCAUUGUUCGAGCUUGAAAACCUUGUUCACAAUUCCAUUAACUUUAACUUUGCCGGUAUCAAGGUAAUCGAUAGCAGCAGGGAAUUUUAUAUUUAAAAAAUAGGGAAAAAACGAAAAGACGUACAGAUCUUUGAUGGUGGCCACGAAACGCGGUCAGCGUGGGCGUACACCCCGUACACAACGAGCUUACCACCGCGGCGGCAAUAGUUGAUGGCAUCUUCCAGAAUCUUGACACUACCGGUGGCCUCGACGACAAUGUCGAAUCCAUAUGGAUUAUCCGCUUUCAGUUUGGCGAAUUGAGCGCUAGGAUCUUUGCGUGAGAGUGCAAUGUAUUCAUCACCGGCGUUGAGAGACUUGGCCAGAUUCAUUUUGAGGCCUUCAGGCGCAGCAAUUACGACUUUGCAGCCGCCGUUCAGUCGGAGCAUUUGGGCAAGGACCUAGCAGAAAGAUCGAUGAGAAAAUAGGUCAGGGGAAAGAUUGUACUUUCCUCAGACAUCAGUGAAGACUUACGAGACCAGUCGGCCCAGCGCCAAACAUAAGGACUGUCGAGCCCAUCUUGGGAGCAAUCUUAUCGACACCAUGUGCAGCACAUGAUGCCGGUUCAAGCAAUGUGGCAUCAACAUCAGAAAGGUUUUUGAUCUUAAAUACCCGACCAGCUAAAAGCACGCAGAAAAUGUCAGGAGCCGCUUUUCCCCCUUUUAUUAAACUACCGGAUGUCUUCAGCAGUUGGGAACUUUAUCUUACAAGGAUAGGCACAAUAUUCAGCGAAACCUCCGUUCAUCGUCACACCGUGAAGUUUGAUGUGCUCGCAGAGAAGCUCCUCCCCCCGUCGGCAGUAGAAGCACGAUCCGCAGGUCUCCGAGUUAUCGGCGACGACUCGGUCACCAACAUUGAAACCUUCGACCUUGGGGCCGUAGGCAGCGACUACACCAACAGUUUCAUGUCCUGAUUUGCAGAGAUUCAGCAUUUGAAAUCCAAGAGUUGAGAGAAAUUUGAGCCAAAAUAUGUGUCAUACCAGGAACCAAAGGGAACUAUACAUGUCACUAAAUUAGCUUCCCGAACAUACGGCGAAAUAUACUUCAAAAUCUCCAAAUCUAGGGGGAAGAUUCUGAGCUUACCUUUGCAAGGAAUUCUCCUUCGUGGAUAUGGAGGUCUGUGCCGCAGACACCGCAGGCUUUGACUUUAAUCUACAAAAUGCAGAGUCGGAAGAAUUAAAAAGAAUACUCAACACCAAUGACGAGACAUAUCGAAUGCAAUGAAAGGAUUUCGCAAGAGCCCUCCUACCAGGACAUCAUUCUCACGUAGGGUUGGGACAGGGAUAUUGACGAUUCCGAACUCCUCUUCCUUGGAGUACCUAAACUCGAAAAUUUGAAAACAUUGUUAGCAAACGACGAAGGAGGAAAGUUCGAUCAAUUGCAUCCACACUAUCUUCUCGAAGGUCUUGGGGAUUUGAGCGGCCAUUUUGUCUGAGAGAGGUUCACUACUUGAUCUAGUGUCAAUUACAAGUGCUAGUUGAGUUCGCCGUCAUCUAGUAUCGUCUUAAUUGCGGACAUACCUAGGGAUUCUGAGGCGUGAGAUGAAGAUUAGAGUAUGCAAAGAAUGAAAAGUGAGAGGAGAGGAAAAGGAGGAAUGAGGGUAGUUUUAAAGAAUUAGUGAAGUGAUGAGUAAGUCGAGGUCUCGUCAUCGGUACAGCGUAAUUUACAUUACGUUGAGCGAUUUUCACCUGGGGUACGUUCAACACCUCGAUGAAGCUGUAAUUUAUUUUUUUUUGGCUCUGUGAGCCUUGCCUCGGCGAUUCCAUAUGGCACGAAAGCUUCAACUGGCCGUGUUUUCUUUGGAUUUGGAAGGUUUAUAGGAACCACUUCCAAUUGAUUUCGAUCCCCUUUGUCUCAGUCAAAUGACAUACGAAAGCUCCGUCUUUUCCACCAGGUACAACACGCGGGAGAGGGCUGUUAGUUGGCGAGUGCCAUCAGUGCUCGUGGUGACAAUGAUUGGGGCUCCGAAGCAAUGUCCCUGGGUCUGAGGGCAGGGUUUACCUACAAGGAUUCUUGUCAGCUAUGGAGUCAAUUGUGGAUAAAGAACCAAGACGACAGGCGGGGAAGCAUUGAUAGUAGUAAGCACCCUGCGUUUCAAUCUUUAACAACACAUAACCCCGUAUCUAACUACGGCCUUGCGAUUUCUGUAUCAGAUUACCGGCCG